rnacentral:rRNA from 1 species
CAUGCAAGUCGAACGGAAUAAUGACUUCGGUUGUUAUUUAGUGGCGGAAGGGUUAGUAAUACAUAGAUAAUCUGUCCUCAACUUGGGAAUAACGGUUGGAAACGACCGCUAAUACCGAAUGUAGUAUGUUUAGGCAUCUAAAACAUAUUAAAGAAGGGGAUCUUCGGACCUUUCGGUUAAGGGAGAGUCUAUGGGAUAUCAGCUUGUUGGUGGGGUAAUGGCCUACCAAGGCUUUGACGUCUAGGCGGAUUGAGAGAUUGACCGCCAACACUGGGACUGAGACACUGCCCAGACUUCUACGGAAGGCUGCAGUCGAGAAUCUUUCGCAAUGGACGAAAGUCUGACGAAGCGACGCCGCGUGUGUGAUGAAGGCUCUAGGGUUGUAAAGCACUUUCGCUUGGGAAUAAGAGAGAUUGGCUAAUAUCCAAUCGAUUUGAGCGUACCAGGUAAAGAAGCACCGGCUAACUCCGUGCCAGCAGCUGCGGUAAUACGGAGGGUGCUAGCGUUAAUCGGAUUUAUUGGGCGUAAAGGGCGUGUAGGCGGAAAGGAAAGUUAGAUGUUAAAUCUUGGGGCUCAACCCCAAGCCAGCAUCUAAUACUAUCUUUCUAGAGGGUAGAUGGAGAAAAGGGAAUUCCACGUGUAGCGGUGAAAUGCGUAGAUAUGUGGAAGAACACCAGUGGCGAAGGCGCUUUUCUAAUUUACACCUGACGCUAAGGCGCGAAAGCAAGGGGAGCAAACAGGAUUA